CUUUAAGCAAGUUCGCGCCUCUUUCUCCAUCGGUGGGUGACUUGGAUGCACAUAUGUCAGCAUCAACAUAAUAGAACUGAUGUAGAGCACUAAUUGAAAGCAAAGGUCCAAGUAUAUUGAAGGAUUAUGAAGCUUCAGGAAUGCUUUCAGAGACAUCAAGAAAACUCCUCGUCAAGAUAGAAGUCAGUGCGUUGGUGGAACAAAGUGUUACCCUUGUAAUGAUGAGAAACAGAUAUUGGCAGAAAGUGUGGUAACACUGUUUCCUUCUCUGAAGAUCAAGAUGGUAGAAGAGAAUGAAGGAUUUGAACAUUUCUAUGACCCAGUCUCCCACAGUGGAUUUAUUGAGAUGAGACUUAGAAAUCUACGGAGGAAACUUUGUGAUGAUCAGCGUCGCUACCAGCGCAAACAUUGUCGAAUCAGUGCUUCCUCUGGAGUGUCUAUUACUUUGGAUAUAACUGCUGAAGGGGAGGAAGACUCAAAGGGAUGAAGUCAAAAGGAUGAAACCAUCUCCAGAAAACCUCAAUACCAUCAAAUUGGGCAUGGAGAAAACCUACAGUAAUCGCAGGUUAUGGAUUGCAAACACGUCCCCACAGUGCAAGAGAUUUUUGAACAAUAUCCUCGAUUUGUAGACAUGCCAUACUUGGUAAGGACAUAUUGUGUUUUGCAUGUUUUUUGUUGAAGGAAUGAAAGACUUUGGCUAUGAACUUGACACAUGUAGCACUGUUCCCUUUUCCCACUCUGUUAAUGUGUUUGGUCAGACUUUUCAAACUGGUUGUGUAAUUGCUUUAAACCGUGACUUAAGAGAAGAGUGUCUCUUUGGUGAAGUUUUACACAUAGUUCCACAAUGUGAAAAAGAAAGGGUUUUAGUUUUUCUUAGAUUUCUAUCUCAAGUGUAUUUUCACCCACACUUGUAUGCAUAUGCUGU